UAAUCAAAACAGUCACUAGUAAGUACAUAAUGUAGUAAAAUGGAAUUGCUUGAUAAUCAAUACAGUAAUAAUGUCUUUGAAGACUAAACCAAAGUUUGUCAUGUUUGUGGAGUAAAUUUAUAAAUUUUACAAAUUUAAUCCAUUUCAAAGUUAAUUACAGAAUUUUUAUUGUUUGUAAGUUAGUUUAAAAUCAUGAAUAAAUUAUUGGAUUAUUCCACAAAUUGCUGAUGAGGUAUUUUUCUUUUGUUGGUCAAUACCCCCAAAUUUCGGCAGAGAUAGAAUAGUAUGGAAAAUAUAACAUCAUCUGUCAGCAAUAUAGACAACAUUAAUUCUGCUGUUACAUUUAAAAGUGUGAUGGAUAUCCUUUCCACUGUCUGAACUUGCUUUUUGAAAUCUAUGACAAACUUUGCUUUAAAAAAUUCGGAUUUAAGGUUAAUAAUUGCAAUAAUAUCAAAAUGAAAUAUUUUUUGAAGUUAAUCUUUAUGUAUAUUUAUUUGAUAAGCAUUAUGCACCAAGUUUUGUUUCACUGCACAUAUAUACACUGAAUAUUCAGAAAUUAUUACAAGGCUUAUAUUAAUGCGAUAAAGAGACUACUUGAGUAGCACAAUAAUAAGACAGUGCAUUCUGAUACCAAAUACAUAAAUCAGUAUGAAGCUUUUCAAAAAUUGCAAUUAUAAGACAUCAAAUAAAAGAUGCUGGCAAUAAUGUCUGAAUUUAUAGUAUAUAUUUAACAUCUAAUCCCUGGUAUCAAGAACUGUUUUGAAAUAUUUACAAAAUGUACAAAAAAAAUAUUGUAAAGGUUAGAUUCAAUAUGAGAAUGAAGAUUUUAUAUGUGUAAACAAAUAUAAAAUGUGCUUGAAAACAUUUUAAAACUACCAUAUCAUAUGUUCAACAAUAUUUACAAAAAAAAAAAUUGAAGAUAAAUGAUAAUCUUUAUUUGGAAUUGAAUCAAGGUAACUAACACAAACUGAAGUAUUCCUCUUUGUUAGUAUGAGCAUUUGGGCUAUCAAUCAAAAUAUAGUUAUUGUCAUGCUAUUGAGUUACAACCAACAACAAAAAAAAAAAAUUAAAUGGUUGGGUUGAAAAAAAUGUUUCUUUCACAAUGGAGUUGCCUAUACUGAAAAUUCAAUUUAUGAAAAUAUAAAAUGGAAAUAAAGGGGUGAAAAAACAUUAAAUAUGUCUAAAAUGAAAGAUGGACAACCUGAAUAGGUUUGCAAAUUUUUUUGUGUAGUCCCAAAGAUCUGUAUUAAAAACCAAAAAAAUAUUGCCAAUCUGGAAAAAAGGAAUAAAUUCCUGGAUUAGAUUUUUCUGUAAAUUAGAGAUCUUAGUUCAAAACUGAUGAAGGGGUGGAUUAUUUUUAAAUUAACUUUUUUACACAUUUACUUUUUUGGACGAUUUUUUU
rnacentral:lncRNA from 1 species